ACAUUCAGGUAAUCGCUGCAUGCUUGUCGUGUAGAGGAAAGUCCAUGCUCGCACGGACUGCGAUGUCCGUAGUGAUCGUGCCUAGCCAAUUCAUAAGCUAGGGUAGUCUGGUUUUGACUGGACUAACGGCAAGGUAAGCACCUACGUCCAAUCGGAUAUGGUGUGAUGCCUUUGAAAGUGCCACAGUGACGGAGUCCAUUUGGAAACGAAUGGAGUGGAACGAGGUAAACCCCACGAGCGAGAAACCCAAAAUAUGGUAGGGGCAUCUUCUUAAACGGGAAUUGAACUGUUGAGAAGGACAAGGGAAUACCCUUGUAGAUAGAUGAUUGCCACCGGAGUACAAGGUUCAUCACCGUUUGCAGUACAAAGGUACAGAACAUGGCUUAUCGAA
rnacentral:RNase_P_RNA from 1 species